AGGAGCGACCAUAUCAACACUAAUGCACUGGAUUCCCUCAAAACUCUGUAGUUAAGCAUGAUUGGGCGAGAAUAGUUCUAAGAUGGGCUUGUUUUACGACUU
rnacentral:rRNA from 1 species